rnacentral:misc_RNA from 1 species
AAGUCGUAACAAGGUUUCCGUAGGUGAUCCUGCGGAAGGAUCAUUAACACGUAUCCAAACGUUAAAACCCCCCUCCGUGAACCUUCAUCCUGCUCUUGUAACCCGCGUAGUUCGCAAUCUCUGAUAAAUCAUAGCCCGGAAAGUUGUAGUGAUUGUCAGUGUCGGAAAGUGUCACUGAUUGUGCAAGGAUAGCGCUUCUACGAUUCCUGUAGACCGUACACUCGGGCAGGAGCUUUGCCAAAGGGUCCCCAUGCCCCCUAAUAACGCCACAGUUUAAUGUGAAGCUCAAUGUAAUACAUUGGGUAAAAAAACCGAACAACUGUUAACAAUGGAUAUCUUGGUUCUC